rnacentral:rRNA from 1 species
GACGAACGCUGGCGGCGUGCCUAAUACAUGCAAGUCGAACGCUGAAGGAGGAGCUUGCUUCUCUGGAUGAGUUGCGAACGGGUGAGUAACGCGUAGGUAACCUGCCUGGUAGCGGGGGAUAACUAUUGGAAACGAUAGCUAAUACCGCAUAAGAGUAGAUGUUGCAUGACAUUUACUUAAAAGGUGCAAUUGCAUCACUACCAGAUGGACCUGCGUUGUAUUAGCUAGUUGGUGGGGUAACGGCUCACCAAGGCAACGAUACAUAGCCGACCUGAGAGGGUGAUCGGCCACACUGGGACUGAGACACGGCCCAGACUCCUACGGGAGGCAGCAGUAGGGAAUCUUCGGCAAUGGACGGAAGUCUGACCGAGCAACGCCGCGUGAGUGAAGAAGGUUUUCGGAUCGUAAAGCUCUGUUGUAAGAGAAGAACGAGUGUGAGAGUGGAAAGUUCACACUGUGACGGUAUCUUACCAGAAAGGGACGGCUAACUACGUG